rnacentral:rRNA from 1 species
CAGAGCGGUAGAGAGAAGCUUGCUUCUCUUGAGAGCGGCGGACGGGUGAGUAAUGCCUAGGAAUCUGCCUGGUAGUGGGGGAUAACGCUCGGAAACGGACGCUAAUACCGCAUACGUCCUACGGGAGAAAGCAGGGGACCUUCGGGCCUUGCGCUAUCAGAUGAGCCUAGGUCGGAUUAGCUAGUUGGUGAGGUAAUGGCUCACCAAGGCGACGAUCCGUAACUGGUCUGAGAGGAUGAUCAGUCACACUGGAACUGAGACACGGUCCAGACUCCUACGGGAGGCAGCAGUGGGGAAUAUUGGACAAUGGGCGAAAGCCUGAUCCAGCCAUGCCGCGUGUGUGAAGAAGGUCUUCGGAUUGUAAAGCACUUUAAGUUGGGAGGAAGGGCAGUAAAUUAAUACUUUGCUGUUUUGACGUUACCGACAGAAUAAGCACCGGCUAACUCUGUGCCAGCAGCCGCGGUAAUACAGAGGGUGCAAGCGUUAAUCGGAAUUACUGGGCGUAAAGCGCGCGUAG